UUACUCAGCAGGGCAGGCAGCGUCACUGGGGAACAUGGGUAGGACGUUUCAGGACAGAGCCCUUCUUCA